rnacentral:rRNA from 1 species
AAUCAACGCUGGCGGCGUGCCUAACACAUGCAAGUCGAACGCGAAAGUCCCGCAAGGGAUCGGUAGCGUGGCAAACGGGUGAGUAACACGUGGGUGACCUGCCUUCGAGUGGGGGAUAACGUCCCGAAAGGGACGCUAAUACCGCAUGACAUCCCGCCUUUGAAGAGGUGGAGAUCAAAGCUGCGGAUCGCAAGACGUAGCGCUUGAAGAGGGGCCCGCGCCUGAUUAGCAGUUGGUGGGGUAAUGGCUCACCAAGGCAACGAUCAGUAUCCGGCCUGAGAGGGCGGACGGACACACUGGGACUGAGACACGGCCCAGACUCCUACGGAGGCAGCAGUGGGGAAUUGUUCGCAAUGGGCGCAAGCCUGACGACGCAACGCCGCGUGGAGGACGAAGGC